rnacentral:rRNA from 1 species
UACUACAGCUUGACACUGAACAUUGAGCCUUGAUGUGUAGGAUAGGUGGGAGGCUUUGAAGCGCGGACGCCAGUCUGCGUGGAGCCAACCUUGAAAUACCACCCUUUAAUGUUUGAUGUUCUAACGUGGCCCCGUGAUCCGGGGUGCGGACAGUGUCUGGUGGGUAGUUUGACUGGGGCGGUCUCCUCCUAAAGAGUAACGGAGGAGCACGAAGGUCAGCUAAUCACGGUCGGACAUCGUGAGGUUAGUGCAAUGGCAUAAGCUGGCUUGA